CUUAGGUGAGAGAUGGACAGCAGAGUGGUGAGGCAAAUGCACCCCUGGAGAUGAGUAGUGAGCAGACAUCUUGGAGGAGAGAUGGUGACUGGCAGUGUGCGGGAGUGCUGCUCAUCUAUCCUGUGUAGAGUGGUGAUUACUGGAGACUGGAAGCAUUGAACUGAAUGUGGCUCAUACUCCAGUGGGGCAGAGUGGAGGAACAGGACACACAGCUGCUGCACAGCAACUAAGGCAGUAUGGAGAGUGUAAUGGAUAGCAUAACUGCCUCACAGCUCUGAGGUCAUGUGGUCAAUUCCCACCAUAGCCCUAAGUAUUUGGAGUUUGUAUGUUCUCCCCAUGCUUGCUUGGGUUUUCUCUGGGUGCUCCGUUCUCAUCCCACAAUCCAAAAACAUACUGUAACUCAGAAGAGAAAAGCCAAUGAAAGAGGAAUGAUCCAUCAUUACCAUUCCCAAUGCCCCGAUUAAAUAAAAUUUUCAAAAUAUUUUUUUUCAAUUAAGUUACAAAUAUCCCUUCCUUUCCCCUCUCCUUCCCUUCCCCUCUCCUUCCCUCCCUUCCCCCUUUUAUUUAAAUGACUGGAAAUUAAUGGCAUUGAGGUUAAAAAAGGCCUAAGUACAGAAUUUAAACCCAAACCUGUGAGGACGGUUUUGGAAAAUCGAAAACACUAAAUUAAUACAGAUCCAAAAUGCAGUGGCCGGCGCACAGCUCUAAUUUGAAGUAGCUACAAGGUUUCCCCCCCCCCAAUAUUCCUGCUUUUACAAUAAUUUACCCCUUUGUGCAAAAAGCAUCAUAUU